ACGGCCAGAAAUUAUUGCCAGUCAACAAAGGAAAGGAAAACAAGGGGAGAAAUAUAAACACAGACGCAAUAAUCUUUGGGCCCUUUCCUUUCCGGUUCGCACUUUA